CUACGGGGGGCUGCAGCAGGGAAUAUUGCACAAUGGACGGAAGUCUGAUGCAGCGACGCCGCGUGGAUGAUGAAGGCCUUCGGGUUGUAAAAUCCUUUUCAGGGAGAGGAGGAAGGACGGUAUCCCUGGAAUAAGCGUCGGCUAACUACGUGCCAGCAGCCGCGGUAAUACGUAGGACGCAAGCGUUAUCCGGAUUUACUGGGCGUAAAGCGUCUGUAGGCGGUUUAGUAAGUUUGAUGUGAAAGCUCCAGGCUCAACUUGGAGAGUGCAUUGAAUACUGCUAGACUUGAGGGGAUCAGAGGAAAGCGGAAUUUCCGGUGUAGCGGUAAAAUGCGCAGAUAUCGGAAAGAACACCAGUGGCGAAGGCGGCUUUCUGGGAUCAACCUGACGCUGAGGGACGAAAGCUAGGGUAGCGAACAGGAUUAGAUACCCUGGUAGUC
rnacentral:rRNA from 1 species